rnacentral:rRNA from 1 species
AAAUUGAAGAGUUUGAUCAUGGCUCAGAUUGAACGCUGGCGGCAGGCCUAACACAUGCAAGUCGAACGGUAACAGGAAGAAGCUUGCUUCUUUGCUGACGAGUGGCGGACGGGUGAGUAAUGUCUGGGAAACUGCCUGAUGGAGGGGGAUAACUACUGGAAACGGUAGCUAAUACCGCAUAACGUCGCAAGACCAAAGAGGGGGACCUUCGGGCCUCUUGCCAUCGGAUGUGCCCAGAUGGGAUUAGCUAGUAGGUGGGGUAACGGCUCACCUAGGCGACGAUC